CAUGAAGUCGGAAUCGCUAGUAAUCGUAGAUCAGCAUGCUACGGUGAAUUUGUAUCUAAGCCUUGUACACACCGCCCGUCACACCAUGGGAGUGGGUUGCAAAAGAAGUAGCUAGUUUAACCUUCGGGAGGACGGUUACCACUUUGUGAUUCAUGACUGGGGUGAAGUCGUAACAAGGUAGCCGUACUGGAAGGUGUGGCUGGAAUACCUCC
rnacentral:rRNA from 14 species